UAUAUUUUGUCCCCAUAUUUGUUGUUCUAAAAAAACUCGUAGUAGCAUCGGAAUAUCGAAUUACUCAUCUUUUGACGGUCUUUCCGUGUGCACCCCCCCUCAGUCUGCACUACAUGGACUAUUCAAUUUUCCGCUCAUCACACGUAUGCGGAAAUUAUGUAAAAAAAACAGUAAACAGCGGUAAGAGAGAGAGAAGAGAUAAAUCGAGUGAGGAAUGAAGCGAACGUACGAAAGCGUGUCACAAAAAAAGAAGAAGAAAGACCAAAGGUGACACAAAAUAGACCACAAUGCCCUGUCCAACCCCCUGCUGUGACUUACUGGAAACCUAAGUGACACAAAAUAGACCACAAUGCUCUGUCCAACCAAGUGCUGUGACCUACUGGAACCCUUAGGUACAACUCGUCCCCGAUCCUCGAAAGGGAAUGAAUGGCCUUGGCAAGUACUGAAACACACACACACACACACACACACACACACACACGCUUCAUUUAGCCGACAAAUGAACACCUGCUGAUUUUCGAUGGAUUUUUUAAAGAUACGCCAUGUUACCUUUCACGUUUCCUCCAGUCACGACACAGUCCAUCUGGGUAAGAUCUGCCAAUGCCUCCGCUAGAGCCGCUCUAUGAACUCUGCAGCGGAG